rnacentral:rRNA from 1 species
AAUAUUGGACAAUGGGCGGAAGCCUGAUCCAGCCAUGCCGCGUGUGUGAAGAAGGUCUUCGUAUUGUAAAGCACUUUAAUUUGGGAGGAAGGGUUUACACCUAAUACGGGUGAACUUUGAUGUUACCAAACGAAUAAUCACCGGCGAACUUCGAGCCGGCCGUCGCGGUAAUACGAAGGGUGCAAGCGAGAAUCGGAAUUACUGGGCGUAAAGCGCGCGUAGGUGGUUCGUUAAGUUGGAAGUGAAAGCCCCGGGCUCAACCUGGGAAUUGCUUUCAAAACUGGCGAGCUAGAGUACGGUAGAGGGUGGUGGAAUUUCCUGUGUAGCGGUGAAAUGCGUAGAUAUAGGAAGGAACAUCAGUGGCGAAGGCGACCACCUGGACUGAUACUGACACUGAGGUGCGAAAGCGUGGGGAGCAAACAGG